AGUGAACGCUGGCGGUAGGCCUAACACAUGCAAGUCGAACGGCAGCACAGUAAGAGCUUGCUCUUACGGGUGGCGAGUGGCGGACGGGUGAGGAAUACAUCGGAAUCUACUUUUUCGUGGGGGAUAACGUAGGGAAACUUACGCUAAUACCGCAUACGACCUACGGGUGAAAGCAGGGGAUCUUCGGACCUUGCGCGAUUGAAUGAGCCGAUGUCGGAUUAGCUAGUUGGCGGGGUAAAGGCCCACCAAGGCGACGAUCCGUAGCUGGUCUGAGAGGAUGAUCAGCCACACUGGAACUGAGACACGGUCCAGACUCCUACGGGAGGCAGCAGUGGGGAAUAUUGGACAAAGGGCGCAAGCCUGAUCCAGCCAUACCGCGUGGGUGAAGAAGGCCUUCGGGUUGUAAAGCCCCUUUGUUGGGAAAGAAAAGCAGCAGGUUAACACCCCGCUGUUCUGACGGUACCCAAAGAAUAAGCACCGGCUAACUUCGUG
rnacentral:rRNA from 1 species